rnacentral:tRNA from 1 species
GCUGUGAUCGUAUAGUGGUCAGUACUCUGCGUUGUAACUGCAGCAAUCUCGGUUCAAAUCAGAGUCAUGGCA